GCCCGCCUAGCUCAGUCGGUAGAGCAUGAGACUCUUAAUCUCAGGGUUGUGGGUUUGAGCCCCAUGUUGGGUG
rnacentral:tRNA from 2 species